ACUAGAUUCUAAGCUUCUCAAGGGCAGGGACUGUUUUGCUUAGCAUGUUUCUCUAAGGCUUUAUGUAAUUCUUGGCAUAAAAUUGACACUCAGUAAAUAAUUUAUUUUGCAUGAAUGAAUAAGCAUAGCUGAAUCUGGCUAUCUCUAAUUCUUUGUUGUGAUCACUGGAAAAAAUGGAUGCAAAAUGCCCAGCAAGGAUCCUGGAAAAAUAGGCAUUUCAUAAAUGGUAGCGGUCAUGGUGGUGUCACUCCUCACCAUUCCCAUGGGACUCCUCAGGGUUUCUCAUGGUUGUACUCUUUGGAUGUAGUCUUGCCUUGCAUGUAAUAGAUAAUGUAUAUGACUGAAUUGAAUAUGUGUUUAAUAUAUUAAGUAAGCAGGGUAAGUGAUUGAUUUUCCUUCUGUGUCCACGUUUAAAAUAAAAGUGAUGAUUAUCUAGAAAACAUGUUUAUUUUCCAUGGAGCAUAAAAUUUGUCUUUUUUUUUUUAGGCACAAAUGCAUUUUAUAAUGAUAAUGUUUUUGAGAGAAUCCAAGUAUUCCAUUGUCUUGUAGGUGAUAACUUGCUAUUGGACUUUACUUUUAAAAAUAUUACCCAAUAUCUGUAACCUG
rnacentral:lncRNA from 10 species